rnacentral:rRNA from 1 species
GACGAACGCUGGCGGCGUGCUUAACACAUGCAAGUCGAACGGAAAGGCCCUGCUUUUGUGGGGUGCUCGAGUGGCGAACGGGUGAGUAACACGUGAGUAACCUGCCCUUGACUUUGGGAUAACUUCAGGAAACUGGGGCUAAUACCGGAUAGGAGCUCCUGCUUCAUGGUGGGGGUUGGAAAGUUUCGGCGGUUGGGGAUGGACUCGCGGCUUAUCAGCUUGUUGGUGGGGUAGUGGCUUACCAAGGCUUGGACGGGUAGCCGGCCUGAGAGGGUGACCGGACACGUUGGGACUGGAAUGCGGCCCAGACUCGUACGGGAGGCAGCAGUGGGGAAUAUUGCACAAUGGGCGGAAGCCUGAUGCGGCAACGCCGCGUGCGGGAUGACGGCCUUCGGGUUGUAAACCGCUUUCGCCUGUGACGAAGCGUGAGUGACGGUAAUGGGUAAAGAAGCACCGGCUAACUACGUG